rnacentral:lncRNA from 1 species
CUUUGAAGGACGUUUGAGUCGGAAAUCAAUCUCUUGCAUGUACUCCGAUUUCCUAGACUGUUCGGAAUUUCGGUUCAACAACAUGAAAUGGUUGGAAAUAUGGGGAGGUGGGAGAAUGGUUUGUGGUGCUGGGGGUUUCUUUGGAGGAUUCGAAAUGAGAAGAUUUUUAAUAAUGUGGCUGGGGUGGUGGAAGAUGCAGUGGAUAUGAUUCAAAGACUGUAAAAAUUAACAAUUUAGAGAUCGAUAUAUUAUAUGAAAUUAGAACACACUUACUUGAUAAUCAAACGAUUGUGUUUACCCUAGAGCCAAUAUCGGAACCNNNNNNNNNNNNNNNNNNNNNNNNNNNNNNNNNNNNNNNNUAUCACUUGCUCCGGUCUUUGAGGUCUUUGAUGGGUAAAACCACAAAUGAGCUUAUUGUGUUUGUGCGUGACGGCAAAGGGGACCUAGCCAAUCUUAUAUAAGAUCACAACUCUAGUAACACCCAUCAUGGACUCUAGAGUUGGGCCUACACUUUGUUUCUACACAAAUCAGAAUUAGUGUUCAAGCCCAUUAUUAUUUAUCACAAUUAUCGGGCUUAAGCAUCAUCAAAUGGAUCACAACAAUAUCAACCCAUUUUUAUUAAAAUCAAAAGCCACAAUUAAUUGUAGCCCACAAAAUAUUAGAAAAUACUCUAACAAAGACUUCAUGGCAAUGGUAUCUUAGCAAUACAACAAAAGGGCCGUGAUUACUGUAUGAAUGAUUUUGGAACCUAUGUGAGCGCAUACUUAUGUGAUAUUUUUUUGUUGUGCUGUUACUGCUGCUCGGGUGCUACUGCUUUUUCUACUUCUCCCUUGUUAGCAGUUGAUGUAUUAGUGAUAGUUGAGAAAAUAGUUGAUAGUGUAGAAUGCUUUUUUUUUGAAUAAGCUAAAUUAGCCCACCCAAAUUGGCAUCAGAGAGAAUCGAACCUCAGAUCUUAAGAGGAGCACACUCUCAGUUCCUAAGUCAAUACCAAUGCACCAACCCAAGUGAGUUUUUAGUGUAGAAUGCUUAGUUGAUAGUUGAAUAGUAGUAGCAAGUAGUGUGAGGAUCACUUAGAGCAAUAUAUUGUAUUGCUCUCCACUUGGAUACAAUUACAA